CUGAUAAGUGAGACUUCUAGAUAUAGACAACAUUGUUAGCUAUGGAAGGAGAAGCCAGCUCCUGAGGGAAAAUUGUUCUUUUGUUCUUGGAAUUGUAUGGUAAUGUAUGUAAUAAUAAUUACAAUGAAUAGUUAACAUUCUAUACAGUGCUUACUAUUGUGAGAAAGAAAUUAUAACACCAGAGAGAUAUUGGCAAACAAAUGCAAGAGAUGGAAUUUUAAAGGAACUGUCAAUCAACCAGAGAAGGAAGGAAGAUUCCAGUAGAAUCUGAUGAGAAGGCAGUUGGGAAAACCAGCAGCUGAACUGAGAUUUUCUUCCUGUUGACAGGGAGGAAAGAUCAACUGAAAGACAGACCUUGCUCUGGAUUCCUGGCUACUCACUGACUUAAUAUUGAAAAGAUUAGCUCUGACGAACCUUUUCAGUUUAUCAGCAAUAUCCCCUCAUAGACAUAUAACUUUAUUUCCCUGUAUUGACCUCCAUAGGAGAUUAGGGAGAUGAUAAUUUCCCUCUUCCCUCUCCCACCUCCCUUAAUUCCCUUAAAUUAAGAAUAAAACCUCUUUCAGAAAAGAGUUACAGUGUGACAUUAGUCCUUCGAAAUUUCUAAAAACUUACCAUAUUAAGAAGAGUCUUUAAGAUCAACUGAGAGAGGGACAGGAAGUGGGAUGGAGGAAAGCAAACCUUCACCUUUCCUCAAUUUUAUUACCUGGUGUUAUUGCUCCAACACCUCUCUGCUACCAUAAAUAUUCUAAUAGGAUCAUCUCUUACACUAUGUGCCAUGCAAAAGAUUUUAUAAUUAUUAUCACAUUUGAUUCUCAAAACUAUCAUGGGAGAUAAUUGCUAUUAUCACCUCCAUUUUACAGAUGAGGAAAAUGAGACAAACAAAUUAAGUGAUUUGGCCAGGACCAUGCAGCUAGUGAAUAUCUUAGCAUGGAUUUGAACUUGUGUUUUCCUGACUCCAAGAUUAAAAGGUCAGAACACAUACUAUUUGAUCUUUUGGUCUUCUUAGAAGCUUCAAAGAACUCAAGAGCUGUAAAUAGAAGAUUGAGGAACCUGAUAAGAGGGACUCAUGAUGAAAAAUGCUAUCCCUAGCCAGUGAAGGAACUGUUGGAGCCUUAUUGCAGAUCAAAGCAUGGUAAAUUACACUUCAUUUCCUUCUUGAAGUUUCUUUUUUUUUAAUAUGUGUGAUAAGUGUAUUCUGCCAUUUAAUGAGUAAUGUGGAAAUAAAUAUGUCUUGAAUGAAAGUACUUGUAUAACC
rnacentral:lncRNA from 1 species